rnacentral:rRNA from 1 species
CCUACGGGUGGCAGCAGUAGGGAAUCUUCCACAAUGGGCGAAAGCCUGAUGGAGCAACGCCGCGUGGGUGAAGAAGGUCUUCGGAUCGUACAACCCUGUUGUUAGAGAAGAAAGUGCGUGAGCGUAACUGUUCACGUUUCGACGGUAUCUAACCAGAAAGCCACGGCUCACUACGUGCCAGCAGCCGCGGUAAUACGUAGGUGGCAAGCGUUAUCUGGAUUUAGUGGGCGUAAAGGUAACGCAGGCGGUCUUUUAAGUCUGAUGUGAAAGCCUUCGGCUUAACCGGAGGAGUGCAUUGGAAACUGGGAGACUUGAGUGCAGGAGAGGAGAGUGGAACUCCGUGUGUAGCGGUGAAAUGCGUAGAUAUAUGGAAGAAAACCGGUGGCGAAAGCAGCUCUCUGGUCUGUAACUGACGCUGAGGUUCGAAAGCGUGGGUAGCAAACAGGAUUAGAUACCCGAGUAGUC